UGUUUCGCUGCUCCACUUUACUUCAAUUCAUUUUUUUUGUUUAUUUUUAUUCAGUCAUGUAUGCAUAAUGAUAUGUAUGUUGUUUGGAAUGGCUUUUUGAUAUGCAGUGCAUGCCUUACACAUUACUUCAUUUGUUUUGAUUUUUCGUUUGAUGGAUGCAAGAUGUUGAUGACGGUGCUAUGUUGUGAAGGGCAUGAUAAAAAUGAUGUGGAUAGGGAAUAACCCGUGGGUUGCAAGGUCAAAGUGGAACCUC
rnacentral:lncRNA from 1 species